CGCUUCCCUCUUCCUUUCUCUCUCAACUGUGCGCCUCCACCAUAACCAUCAGUACUUCCCACUAGCACCUGCUGCUGCAUCUCUCCUCCCCCACGAGCAACCACACCACAAGCCAACCAAACUCCUUCCCACAUGAAGUCGCCAGCAGCAAGCUGCGUUUUCACCCCCUGCAGCCAACAGACAGAGGUUGGGACAACCAGUUUUUGCCCUCUCUGUAACACCCCGUCAUUUUUAUGACGUCAUUAAUUAUUAUUAUUAUUAUUAUUAUUAUCACUUUUGGAGAUUUUAUAAAUAUAUUAAGUUAUUUUGAGUUAGUAUCAAUAAAUUUCAUUCACAUAAGAAUAUUAACAUAUUUAGAUUAAAAAUAGAUUUGCGACAACUAAACUAAAGAGGUUCGAAUUAAAAUUAUUAUUUUGUUAAAAUUUGUGAGCACACGAUGAUCCAUCGCAAGGAGACGAAUCUAGAUAAAUAAAUAAAUAAAUGAAUAAACAAAACAAAAAGGAUGGGUUAGGGUUUUAAGUGAGAUAACCCUUCCCUCACCUUGCAUAAAAACCACGGCUGCCAUUCCUCUUUUCCCUCCCUUCCCCACGACUCUCCCCUCUUUCCUCAACAACCUUGCUCCUUUCCCCUUCACCAGCAGCUGCCUCCUCCCCCACGAGCAGCAACCGACAAUUUCCCGUCCUCCACAAGCAACAGGCGGCUGCAACCAGCGUGCUCCUCCGUGCUAGCAACAGCCAUGGCUGCGUUUUUCCCCCCGACAGCUGCAAGCUGCUGUGACACCAAAUAUAGCACCACCACACAGCUUUUCUCCACCAUCACACACGGUGGGUCGCAUCACCACCACAAGAACCGCCAACCCCUUGACCCAUUUCCUAGUUCCACCCAUUGUUCCCAGUUCAUUAGAGGAAAGUAGAACCUUAGUUGGGUGAUUUUUGUAACUUUUGGUCGUGCAGUGACGCUUGCAGGUACUUAAGAUUGAGGGAAGUGGUAGAGGGAGAGGCAAGCAUAAGCGACUUUAGACAUAUGAAGAAUGGUUAUAUGAAUAGAUUAGAAGAUUUGAUAACCAAUGAGCUUCCUAAUUGUAGUUUGAAGGCUUUUCUACACAUUGAGUCUAGAAUCAAACAUUGGUCAGAGAAGCUUUGAAAAUGUAAUUAUGAGUUAGGGUUUAAAGUAUGAAUGAAAAUCUUGGUAGUUGUACUACUUUUGUCUUUUGAGGGUGUUUUAUAAUUUCAUAGAUUUGUAGAAGCUUUGAAAAGAUGAUUUUAUUGUGAAUAGGUAAUAAUAGUUGUUAUAAUUAAGAGUGUUAGUUACAAAAAGUAGUGUUAACUGUCACUUAUAUUAUAAGGAUGAAGGUGGAUGUUGUUUAUAUUACUGAGUAUUAUUGUUAGUUAGUUGCGGUGUGGUUGUAGUUAUUAGAGUUGAAUACUAUUAUUGUUAAAGUAGGUAGAAACCAUUGUUGUCCAUAUUGUCGCAAAUUAUUAGAGGAAGUGUUUCUUUUCAUGCCCUUUGCCAUCAUGAGUAAUUUUGUAUGUUGUAAUAGAUCAUACUACAACUUGAGGUUAUCACUAACAUCAACAUUGUUAAAAGUUAUUAGUAUUAAUGUUGUUGUACAAGUGUUAUUAGUUGUGACAUUUCAUGGUGAUGUGGUCUUAUAACUCAAGUCUCAUAGGUUUAAAGAAAUAAUCAUAAAGUACACUUUGUUGUUACGAAAGCUUAUUUAAUCGUUGGUUUAGUGGAUGUGAAAGCUUCUUUGAUUGUUGAAUUAAUGUAGUAACUUAUGAGCAAGUAUAGAUUGAAUAUGUGAAUUAGUUUAGUAUGCAUUAGAAUAAUUGAAAGUUACUUUGAAUGGGUGAAUGAUAGCUUGUUUAAGCGUCUAGAUGUUUUUAGACAGAGACAAAUACGCUUAUUAGUUCUUCUCCUAAUUUAUAUAGGUGCCUGUUUCAUAAAAGGAAGGUAGAAUUUUAGUUGGGUGAUUUUUUUUGUGAUGUUUGAUCGUGCAGUGACGUUUACAUGUACGUAUACACAGUAACUAACCCUUAUAUGCAAUUUUCCUUUAAGACAUUAUUGUUUAUUGUGAUAAUAUGCAUUGUAUCAAAACGAUGAGGUACUAGUGAGUAAACUUUAUAUGAGGAGCUAUCGAUUAUGACAUCCUUGAGUUCAGAAUAGUUUAGAGAAAUAAGAGUGUUAGUAGAAGGUGGGGACCAUCCCCUUAUUUAUUUGAGAAUUGGAUUAUGUCUUACUUAGAGUUAGAAUGACUUCUUUAUAGGUGAAUUUCGUAUUUUGUUUGAGUUGUUCUGUGGGUUUUGGCGUUCUGGUAUCCCAGGGCAUUCAUCAAUAGUAGAAAGUGAGAGUUAUUCUCAUUUGAUAAAGCAUUAGAUUACGAUUAGUUGGCGUGACUCAACUGGGUUAUGUCCGGUUGAUUUAAUAGUGCCCUAGGUGAGAUCCGACAGGAUCACUGUAUAGGGGGUAUGAGCAUACUUUAAUUGUAACCGCCUCGAAGUAUGAAGGCAAACACUAAUUGGAAUUUAGUAUUAAUCAAGUCGAAGCUUACUUUUGCCAACACAAUUAAGGGGUUACUUAAAGAUCAAACCAAUAUCCAAGUAAAAUACUUGAACCAAACCAAAGCAAUAUAACGGAAGUCUUAACUGUUCAAAAUAUAGGAAAAUUACAACCAAAUCGAAAUAAGUCCAAAGUUCAAAUUACAUCCUUAACAUAAUCUAAAUCUAAACAACUAAACUAAUAGUCUCUCAAAUACAAUAAAGAGAUCUAAACAAAAAGGGGAGUCAUACUCCAACUCGGGUUCAUCUUCCGCUCGCAUAUCCAUUCUCCGUCGAGGUGCCAUAGGGGUUUACUCUAAAAACAAAACCAUUCAAAAACAUACAAAGCAUAGUAUCAGCAA